AUUGAACGCUGGCGGCAUGCUUUACACAUGCAAGUCGAACGGUAACAGGCCUUCGGGUGCUGACGAGUGGCGAACGGGUGAGUAAUGCAUCGGAACGUGCCCAGAGGUGGGGGAUAACGCAGCGAAAGCUGUGCUAAUACCGCAUGUGAUCUGAGGAUGAAAGCGGGGGACCAGGCAGCAAUGUUUGGCCUCGCGCCUUUGGAGCGGCCGAUGUCAGAUUAGGUAGUUGGUGGGGUAAAGGCCUACCAAGCCGACGAUCUGUAGCUGGUCUGAGAGGACGACCGGCCACACUGGGACUGGGCCACGGCCCAGACUCCUACGGGAGGCAGCAGUGGGGAAUGUUGGACAAUGGGCGCAAGCAUUAUCCAGCAAUGCCGCGUGCGGGAAGAAAGCCUUCGGGUUGUAAACCGCUUUUGUACGGAACGAAAAGGCUCUGGCUAAUACCUGGGGCUGAUGACGGUACCGUAAGAAUAAGCACCGGCUAACUACGUG
rnacentral:rRNA from 1 species